rnacentral:rRNA from 1 species
GACGAACGCUGGCGGCGUGCUUAACACAUGCAAGUCGAACGGUGAAGCUCCAGCUUGCUGGAGUGGAUCAGUGGCGAACGGGUGAGUAACACGUGAGCAACCUGCCCCAGACUCUGGAAUAAGCGCUGGAAACGGCGUCUAAUACUGGAUACGAGAUCAAGCCGCAUGGUUAUGGUCUGGAAAGUUUUUCGGUUUGGGAUGGGCUCGCGGCCUAUCAGCUUGUUGGUGAGGUAAUGGCUCACCAAGGCGACGACGGGUAGCCGGCCUGAGAGGGCGACCGGCCACACGGGGACUGAGACACGGCCCAGACUCCUACGGGAGGCAGCAGUGGGGAAUAUUGCACAAUGGGCGAAAGCCUGAUGCAGCGACGCCGCGUGAGGGAUGACGGCCUUCGGGUUGUAAACCUCUUUCAGCAGGGAAGAAGCGAAAGUGACGGUACCUGCAGAAGAAGCACCGGCUAACUACGUG